CUAUCGCAGAGCAGGGCGUGAUGGGCGUCAUGAGUUGCCGGGCGGUUUCUUGCCCCCACUCGCUCAGUCUGCCCCCAGCUUAGGAUAGCGAUCGAGAUUCUCGAGGCUCGUACUCAACCGCCGUCCAGCGCGUGGGCAGAAGCUACGAAAGAGAUAUGUGAGCCCCGAACUGGAGAGUAGGAGGAACUCAAUGGGAUUCAGACUUCUUGUCAGAUUUUAGCUAGUGCCGAAAGGAGCAUGCCUUGACCAAUUCCUCCCUAACUGUCUCUAUGCUGCCUUGGGCUGUGGGAUGGAUAACAGAACUUUUGAAUCAUCACUGGAAUAAACUCAUUAGAGCCUCUUCUUCAUAACGCCGUAUCUGUCACUCAGGUACAAAGUCAUAAAAAGUACUGGACACCUUGGAUUUCUUGGUCCCUGAGCCUUGGACUCUGGAAAGGAAAUGUUCCAGUCCUCUUUCCAAGAAAAGGGCCUGCUGGCCUGCUGCCCACCCUCUGUCGUGCCUUGAGGGAAUCUGCAUUGUUUGCCCUUUUCCAGAGGAAUGAGGGAGCAGUGGCCGCCUGGCAGUCUGGGGGGCACCUGGACAUCCACCCACUGGAGGGAGACAUCCACCUACUGUUGACUCCCCCUGCCAGUUGUGACACCCACAUGUGUCUACCAGCAACCUUUCUCUGCGACCUCACCACACAUGAAGGAAGUGGCCAGACCUGCUCUGUCACCUGCCUGUGCAUCUCUGUCCCACCUGAGAGCUUCCACAGGCCCCGGUGCCUUCUUCCUCUUCGCCAUCUGUCUUGUGCUCAUCUCCUCCGAGAAGCCUUCCAUGACUAAUCCUACUCUCAGCUCCAACUCAUUCCUUGAAGAUUUAUACAAACUAGAUUUAGGUUCUCCCCUCGGUUUCGCAUCUCCUUCAGGAAUGGGUGCUCAGCUGACAGCUUCCUGUGGCAGAGAAAGCAUUAAGGAAUCAGCCA